UACAGAGGUCCCAAGCGUUGUUCGGAUUCACUGGGCGUAAAGGGCGCGUAGGCGGUUCGUACAGUCAGACGUGAAAUUCCCGGGCUCAACCUGGGGACUGCGUUUGAUACGUGCGGGCUUGAGUUCGGAAGAGGGUCGUGGAAUUCCCAGUGUAGAGGUGAAAUUCGUAGAUAUUGGGAAAAACACCGGUGGCGAAGGCGGCGACCUGGUCCGACACUGACGCUGAGGCGCGAAAGCGUGGGGAGCAAACAGG
rnacentral:rRNA from 1 species